GAUGAACGCUGGCGGCGUGCCUAAUACAUGCAAGUCGAGCGAACAGAUGAGGAGCUUGCUCCUCUGACGUUAGCGGCGGACGGGUGAGUAACACGUGGAUAACCUACCUAUAUGACUGGGAUAACUUCGGGAAACCGGAGCUAAUACCGGAUAAUAUAUUGAACCGCAUGGUUCAAUAGUGAAAGACGGUUUUGCUGUCACUUAUAGCUGGAUCCGCGCCGCAUUAGCUAGUUGGUAAGGUAACGGCUUACCAAGGCAACGAUGCGUAGCCGACCUGAGAGGGUGAUCGGCCACACUGGAACUGAGACACGGUCCAGACUCCUACGGGAGGCAGCAGUAGGGAAUCUUCCGCAAUGGGCGAAAGCCUGACGGAGCAACGCCGCGUGAGUGAUGAAGGUCUUCGGAUCGUAAAACUCUGUUAUUAGGGAAGAACAAAUGUGUAAGUAACUAUGCACGUCUUGACGGUACCUAAUCAGAAAGCCACGGCUAACUACGUG
rnacentral:rRNA from 1 species